AAGGAAGAAGUUUUGUUGCCGUUAGUGAUAAGCACGCCUGGCAUUUUCAUCAUUCUUCCCUCUCUUUCUCUCUCACUUCAACUUUUUUCCUCUAUUCUAUUCUAUUCCCUUAAUAUUCCUUUUUUUUCUUCUCUCUCUAAAAUUCUUCUUUCUUCUUCAGUCACCACUUUCUUUUUCUCUCUCACUUUUCUCUCUCUUCUUUUUCCUUCCAUUUUCCGCACCUUCGAUUUUCGGCAAUUCUCGCUUCUCUGUUUGGAUCUGCCACUUGCUACACCUACUCACUUCGAUUCCUCAACUUUAAUAUAUAGUUUGAAGUUUCGAUUUCAGUUUUUCUUUUUCAACUCGAGGUUGUGUAGUACUCGCGUUGUUCUUCGUUUCUCGAUUUUUCCUCGAAUUUUCUGGUUUUGUUUUUCGGUGCUGAUUCCGAUAAAGGUAUAA